UUCGAGCCUAGAAGUAGGAGUUUCUUUCGGAUCUAAAAAAACCUUACAUUAAACCCGGGGCAGGGUAGUGUUCAGUUAAUCUGACUACACAUUCAAAUUACAAGACGAAGCAUCUCGUCUGUAGAUCAACCACAAGAUAUUAUUUACACACAUCCCGAAGCAUAGAAGGAACCAUGCAAAAUCCAAAGGUUAUGUUGGAUUGUCCUUCAAAUCACCAAUGACUUGGCAGUCACAAU
rnacentral:lncRNA from 1 species